UGGCUGCUAGGCUCCUGGGUG
rnacentral:miRNA from 1 species